AGUUAAUGAACUUGUAAAAGUAUAUAUUUUGAAAAUAUAAAAAAGAAAUAUUAAUUUUCUAUUAACUU
rnacentral:tRNA from 1 species